GAGUUUGAUCCUGGCUCAGGAUGAACGCUGGCGGUAUGCUUAACACAUGCAAGUCGAACGGAGUAGCAAUACUCAGUGGCGGACGGGUGAGUAACGCGUGAGAACCUGCCUUCAGGAUGGGGACAACAGUUGGAAACGACUGCUAAUACCCGAUGUGCCGAAAGGUGAAAGAUUUAUCGCCUGAAGAGGGGCUCGCGUCUGAUUAGCUAGUUGGUGGGGUAAAAGCCUACCAAGGCGACGAUCAGUAGCUGGUCUGAGAGGAUGAGCAGCCACACUGGGACUGAGACACGGCCCAGACUCCUACGGGAGGCAGCAGUGGGGAAUUUUCCGCAAUGGGCGAAAGCCUGACGGAGCAAUACCGCGUGAGGGAGGAAGGCUCUUGGGUUGUAAACCUCUUUUCUCAGGGAAGAAGAUCUGACGGUACCUGAGGAAUAAGCAUCGGCUAACUCCGUGCCAGCAGCCGCGGUAAUACGGAGGAUGCAAGCGUUAUCCGGAAUCAUUGGGCGUAAAGCGUCCGUAGGUGGUCUUUCAAGUCUGCUGUCAAAGCGUCAGCUUAACCUGAUAAAGGCAGUGGAAACUGGGAGACUAGAGUUCGGUAGGGGUAGCGGGAAUUCCCAGUGUAGCGGUGAAAUGCGUAGAGAUUGGGAAGAACAUCGGUGGCGAAAGCGCGCUACUGGGCCCGAAACUGACACUCACAGGACGAAAGCUAGGGGAGCGAAAGGGAUUAGAUACCCCUGUAGUCCUAACCGUAAACGAUGGAUACUAAGGCGUGGCCUUUGUUAUCGACCCGAGCCC
rnacentral:rRNA from 1 species